AUUGAACGCUGGCGGCAGGCCUAACACAUGCAAGUCGAACGGUAACAGGAAGAAGCUUGCUUCUUUGCUGACGAGUGGCGGACGGGUGAGUCAUGUCUGGGAAACUGCCUGAUGGAGGGGGAUAACUACUGGAAACGGUAGCUACUACCGCAUAACGUCGCAAGACCAAAAAGGGGGACCUUCGGGCCUCUUGCCAUCGUAUGUGCCCAGAUGGGAUUAGCUAGUAGGUGGGGUAACGGCUCACCUAGGCGACGAUCCCUAGCUGGUCUGAGAGGAUGAGCAGCCACACUGGAACUGGGCCACGGUCCAGACUCCUACGGGAGGCAGCAGUGGGGAAUAUUGCACAAUGGGCGGAAGCCUGAUGCAGCCAUGCCGCGUGUAUGAAGACGGCGUUCGGGUUGUAAAGUACUUUCAGCGGGGAGGAAGGGAGUAAAGUUAAUACCUUGGCUGAUUGACGUUACCCGCAGAAGAAGCACCGGCUAACUCCGUG
rnacentral:rRNA from 1 species